AUUGAACGCUGGCGGCAGGCCUAACACAUGCAAGUCGAGCGGGGUUUUCGGACCUAGCGGCGGACGGGUGAGUAAUGCGUAGGAAGCUACCCGAUAGAGGGGGAUACCAGUUGGAAACGACUGUUAGUACCGCAUAAUGUCUACGGACCAAAGUGUGGGACCUUCGGGCCACAUGCUAUCGGAUGCGCCUACGUGGGAUUAGCUAGUUGGUGAGGUAAUGGCUCACCAAGGCGACGAUCCCUAGCUGGUUUGAGAGGAUGAUCAGCCACACUGGAACUGAGACACGGUCCAGACUCCUACGGGAGGCAGCAGUGGGGAAUAUUGGACAAUGGGCGCAAGCCUGAUCCAGCCACGCCGCGUGUGUGAAGAAGGCCUUCGGGUUGUAAAGCACUUUCAGUAGGGAGGAAGCGUUGUGUGUUAAUAGUACACAGCGUUGACGUUACCUACAGAAGAAGCACCGGCUAACUCUGUGCCAGCAGCCGCAGUAACAC
rnacentral:rRNA from 1 species